rnacentral:tRNA from 1 species
CGGUCUGUAGCUCAGUUGGUAGAGCAGCUGACUCUUAAUCAGCGGGUCCGGGGUUCGAACCCCCGCAGAUCGA